ACCCUCGAACCGAGGUGGGUUGAUGACAGCCAUGCUUCUGCUCUGGGUUGUCAUGGGCCUGUUUGCUGGAUACUCUGCAACCCGUCUGUACAAGAUGUUCAAAGGAACAGACUGGAAGAAAAUUGCUCUCAAGACAGCUUUCAUGUUCCCUGGCACUGUUUUUGCCAUUUUCUUUGUCUUGAAUGCUCUAAUUUGGGGUGAAAAAUCCUCAGGGGCAGUGCCAUUUGGAACCAUGUUUGCGCUGGUGUUGUUAUGGUUUGGCAUCUCGGUCCCACUUGUUUUUGUGGGUGGUUAUGUUGGGUUUAAGAAGCCAGCAAUUGAGGAUCCCGUAAAAACUAAUAAGAUUCCAAGGCAGAUCCCAGAGCAGGCCUGGUAUAUGAAUCCUGUCUUCUCCAUCCUAAUUGGAGGCAUAUUACCCUUUGGAGCUGUCUUUAUCGAGCUCUUUUUCAUCCUCACAUCAAUCUGGUUGCAUCAAUUCUAUUACAUAUUUGGCUUCCUCUUCAUUGUCUUCCUUAUCCUACUUGUAACUUGUGCGGAGAUUACAAUCGUGCUGUGCUACUUCCA
rnacentral:lncRNA from 1 species